GAUGAACGCUGGCGGCGUGCUUAACACAUGCAAGUCGAACGGACUUUACAUGAAGCUUGCGAUUGUAAAGUUAGUGGCGGACGGGUGAGUAACGCGUGGGUAACCUGCCAUAUACAGGGGGAUAACACUUAGAAAUAGGUGCUAAUACCGCAUAAGCGCACAGAAUCGCAUGAUACAGUGUGAAAAACUCCGGUGGUAUAUGAUGGACCCGCGUCUGAUUAGCUAGUUGGUGAGGUAACGGCCCACCAAGGCGACGAUCAGUAGCCGGCCUGAGAGGGUGAACGGCCACAUUGGGACUGAGACACGGCCCAAACUCCUACGGGAGGCAGCAGUGGGGAAUAUUGCACAAUGGGGGAAACCCUGAUGCAGCGACGCCGCGUGAGUGAAGAAGUAUUUCGGUAUGUAAAGCUCUAUCAGCAGGGAAGAUAAUGACGGUACCUGACUAAGAAGCCCCGGCUAACUACGUG
rnacentral:rRNA from 1 species